rnacentral:lncRNA from 1 species
CUGUAAUGAAUAAGAUAGGAGAAAUUACACACCCUUGUUCUUUCCUCAGAAUUUCAUCUAUAGCAUCAUCUAUUCUGUUUAAAAGUACUCUCAGUAGUAUCUUGCUUGGGACUGACAGCAAAGUUAUACCACGCCAGUUGUUGCAGUCACUUUGGUCUCCUUUCUUGAGUAGUUUGAUUAUAAGACCCUUUGCCCAUUUUUAUGUGUACCAAUUACUAAAUGAUUGAAAUUCUUCACCACCAAUAAAAACUUGUUGCCACGAAAUACCCAAAAGCAGUGCUUAAAAUUGGCGUUAAAACACAAAAUAUCAAAUCAAAUCAAUAAAUUUAAGUCUGAUAUCUUAUCUUUCUAUGGUGUACUUUUAAAAAAAAGUUGUAUUUAAUAAAUCAAGCAUCAUGUAGUCUGUCUGUUAAUUUUAACAGUAAUUUAUUUCUUGUCUAAAUCUGAAUUUGUCAACCCGCCAAUAACACAGGACAGUAGCAACCACAUGCUGUUGAAAUAACCCUGUAAAAAUGAGAUGGAAAGGUCUUCUUCUUAAGUCAGGAAUAUGACAGUUGUUUUCUAUUCUUUUUAUGUGUUUGAGCUGUUGAUUUUACCAUUUGAUAAUGGACUUUCAAUUUGAAUUUUCCGUGUAGUUCCGCAUUUUUGUUAUUGUACUUUUUCCUCAUCAGAUUGACUUGAAUAACAAACAAACAAAAUCCACUCUGAUCUAAUAGUACUAACAGUAACUGAAAGAUAACUCCAAUAUAAUUCAACUAUAAAUUAACAAUGUUUUCUUAUACUUAAAUAUCAGUCGGUACACAUCUAACAGAUUUAGUGUAAAUACCUUAUUAACCAUAUGAGAAUACUUUAUCACAGAAAUUCACUAUAUAAGUACUAACAGAAUGUAGGACCAAAUAUUUGUGUAUCCUUCUGCAACAAAUUAAAAAAGAAAAACAAAGCAUUUCAAUGUCUUAGUAAAAUCAAUUAAAUUUAAUUUAUAAGAAUGAAUCAGCAUAUUUUUCUGAUGUAAGCAGCAGUUUUUGCAUUGCAAAUAUUGUUAAAGAUAGUGCAAGAUGACAGUAACUGGUACCUGAUUGUUGAUAUGAUAGAAUUGUAAUGGAAAAAGGCUUGUCAUACUUCAUGUGAAGUAUUUAUUGAUGAUUUUAAUACUGCACAUGCUUUGUAGUUUUAAUUGUUGUAAUUUGUUUCCUGUGGCAGUGUCCAGGUGUAGCUAUGCACACAGAACACUUUUAUCAUGUUGAUAUAUAAUUAGUUAUCAAAAGUACCAGGAUUAUAAUUUUAUACGCCAGACGCCGUUUUCGUCUACAUAAGACUCAUCAGUGACGCUCAGAUCAAAGACUAUACCCAAAUUAGCAAAUAUAUUUCUGAAGGACAUGAAGUUGUGCACCUGCUUCAUGACUUUUUCUUUUAAGUGUUUUUCAAUGUUUCUCAUUAAAUAACAUGGACUUAACUAUAUUUUAUGAUUAAUAGUAAAGAGAACACUCUUUAGACAACAACCAUUGAUGUAUCUUCUGCUUAGUGGAUAGUGCUUUGGCCUUGCCAUUUAUCACUUUCAUUUUGUUUAAAUGUAAGUUAAUAUUGGUAUUGGGUCCCACUAAUUUGAGUUCCCAAAUAAACAAAUAUACAAAUUCACUCAAAAUUUAAAGAAAAGAC